rnacentral:rRNA from 1 species
GAUGAACGCUGGCGGCGUGCCUAACACAUGCAAGUCGAACGAAGCACCUUACCUGAUUCUUCGGAUGAAAGUUUGGUGACUGAGUGGCGGACGGGUGAGUAACGCGUGGGUAACCUGCCCUGUACAGGGGGAUAACAGCUGGAAACGGCUGCUAAUACCGCAUAAGCGCACGAGGAGACAUCUCCUUGUGUGAAAAACUCCGGUGGUACAGGAUGGGCCCGCGUCUGAUUAGCUGGUUGGCAGGGUAACGGCCUACCAAGGCAACGAUCAGUAGCCGGUCUGAGAGGAUGAACGGCCACAUUGGAACUGAGACACGGUCCAAACUCCUACGGGAAGCAGCAGUGGGGAAUAUUGCACAAUGGGGGAAACCCUGAUGCAGCAACGCCGCGUGAGUGAAGAAGUAUUUCGGUAUGUAAAGCUCUAUCAGCAGGGAAGAUAAUGACGGUACCUGACUAAGAAGCUCCGGCUAAAUACAUG